UACGGAGGAUCCAAGCGUUAUCCGGAAUCAUUGGGUUUAAAGGGUCCGUAGGCGGUUUAGUAAGUCAGUGGUGAAAGCCCAUCGCUCAACGGUGGAACGGCCAUUGAUACUGCGUUUCUUGAGUAUGGUUGAGGUAGGUGGAAUGUGUUGUGUAGCGGUGAAAUGCAUAGAUAUGACACAGAACGCCGAUUGCGAAGGCAGCUUACUGGGAUACAACUGACGCUGAGGCACGAAAGCGUGGGGAUCAAACAGG
rnacentral:rRNA from 1 species